CCCCUUGAGGUUCGGGCGCGAUUGGCCUAUAUUCAUAGCGUCCUUCGGGACUAUGAACAUAAACGCGCUCGUAAUAAGCGGAUCGGACCCGGGGGCGGUACCCGGCGACUCCACCAAACAUCCUUCAUUUGGGGAUCAUGGGGUCGAAACAGGAUCGACGAACGUCUAAAGGGGUUUGCUUUGUUUCGGCUGUCUGCCACCGUUAUCGGCGAAACUUGUACAAUUGCAAAUGACAAUCGUGCUCCAGUUGCGAUGGCCGCGUAAGCGGUUUCAGCGACUGAAACUUAACUCCUUGGGUUUAGCGACCUAAGGCGGGGUUCGCAGGCACCUGGCAACAGAAGCCUGCACU
rnacentral:tmRNA from 2 species